UUUCCGUAGGUGAACCUGCGGAAGGAUCAUUACAGAGUUCAUGCCCUCGCGGGUAGAUCUCCCACCCUUGAAUAUUUAUACCUUAGUUGCUUUGGCAGGCCGUGGAAACACCAUGGGCUCCGGCUUAUGCGUGCCUGCCAGAGGAAACAAACUCUGUUUUUAGUGAUGUCUGAGUACUAUAUAAUAGUUAAAACUUUCAACAACGGAUCUCUUGGUUCUGACAUCGAUGAAGAACGCAGC
rnacentral:misc_RNA from 1 species